AGGGGCAGAGACGGGGGUGGGAGCGAGGCGGGUUAGAAAGAUGGGGGAUCUGAGAGACAGGGUGAGAGAGAGAUGCGGGUGCCAAAGAAGACGGUCAGGAAGGAUCGGGAAGGCCAGCGUCAGAGAGACACGGAGACUCCUCACAGCAGCAUCUAUUGGAGGCACUAUUAAAUUCCCAUUUUAUGGAGGGGGAUCAAAGGCACCACAAGACGCUAUUUGCCUGGAAAGUUGGCUUUGGGGCCGGGAGUGGCCCCAAGGCUGCGGCGCCUGGCUACCCUUGGCCUCACCACCACGUGUCUGGACCCCUUGAUCUUUAUUUUUAAAAGUCUCUGCCUUAGCCA